UUAAGCGACUAAGCGUACACGGUGGAUGCCCUGGCAGUCAGAGGCGAUGAAGGACGUGCUAAUCUGCGAUAAGCGUCGGUGAGGUGAUAUGAACCGUUAUAACCGGCGAUUUCCGAAUGGGGAAACCCAGUGUGUUUCGACACACUAUCAUUAACUGAAUCCAUAGGUUAAUGAGGCGAACCGGGGGAACUGAAACAUCUAAGUACCCCGAGGAAAAGAAAUCAACCGAGAUUCCCCCAGUAGCGGCGAGCGAACGGGGAGGAGCCCAGAGCCUGAAUCAGUGUGUGUGUUAGUGGAAGCGUCUGGAAAGGCGCGCGAUACAGGGUGACAGCCCCGUACACAAAAAUGCACAUAUUGUGAGCUCGAUGAGUAGGGCGGGACACGUGGUAUCCUGUCUGAAUAUGGGGGGACCAUCCUCCAAGGCUAAAUACUCCUGACUGACCGAUAGUGAACCAGUACCGUGAGGGAAAGGCGAAAAGAACCCCGGCGAGGGGAGUGAAAAAGAACCUGAAACCGUGUACGUACAAGCAGUGGGAGCCUCUUUAUGGGGUGACUGCGUACCUUUUGUAUAAUGGGUCAGCGACUUAUAUUCUGUAGCAAGGUUAACCGAAUAGGGGAGCCGAAGGGAAACCGAGUCUUAACUGGGCGUUAAGUUGCAGGGUAUAGACCCGAAACCCGGUGAUCUAGCCAUGGGCAGGUUGAAGGUUGGGUAACACUAACUGGAGGACCGAACCGACUAAUGUUGAAAAAUUAGCGGAUGACUUGUGGCUGGGGGUGAAAGGCCAAUCAAACCGGGAGAUAGCUGGUUCUCCCCGAAAGCUAUUUAGGUAGCGCCUCGUGAAUUCAUCUCCGGGGGUAGAGCACUGUUUCGGCAAGGGGGUCAUCCCGACUUACCAACCCGAUGCAAACUGCGAAUACCGGAGAAUGUUAUCACGGGAGACACACGGCGGGUGCUAACGUCCGUCGUGAAGAGGGAAACAACCCAGACCGCCAGCUAAGGUCCCAAAGUCAUGGUUAAGUGGGAAACGAUGUGGGAAGGCCCAGACAGCCAGGAUGUUGGCUUAGAAGCAGCCAUCAUUUAAAGAAAGCGUAAUAGCUCACUGGUCGAGUCGGCCUGCGCGGAAGAUGUAACGGGGCUAAACCAUGCACCGAAGCUGCGGCAGCGACACUAUGUGUUGUUGGGUAGGGGAGCGUUCUGUAAGCCUGUGAAGGUGGCCUGUGAGGGUUGCUGGAGGUAUCAGAAGUGCGAAUGCUGACAUAAGUAACGAUAAAGCGGGUGAAAAGCCCGCUCGCCGGAAGACCAAGGGUUCCUGUCCAACGUUAAUCGGGGCAGGGUGAGUCGACCCCUAAGGCGAGGCCGAAAGGCGUAGUCGAUGGGAAACAGGUUAAUAUUCCUGUACUUGGUGUUACUGCGAAGGGGGGACGGAGAAGGCUAUGUUGGCCGGGCGACGGUUGUCCCGGUUUAAGCGUGUAGGCUGGUUUUCCAGGCAAAUCCGGAAAACCAAGGCUGAGGCGUGAUGACGAGGCACUACGGUGCUGAAGCGACAAAUGCCCUGCUUCCAGGAAAAGCCUCUAAGCAUCAGGUAACAUCAAAUCGUACCCCAAACCGACACAGGUGGUCAGGUAGAGAAUACCAAGGCGCUUGAGAGAACUCGGGUGAAGGAACUAGGCAAAAUGGUGCCGUAACUUCGGGAGAAGGCACGCUGAUAUGUAGGUGAAGCGACUUGCUCGUGGAGCUGAAAUCAGUCGAAGAUACCAGCUGGCUGCAACUGUUUAUUAAAAACACAGCACUGUGCAAACACGAAAGUGGACGUAUACGGUGUGACGCCUGCCCGGUGCCGGAAGGUUAAUUGAUGGGGUUAGCGGUAACGCGAAGCUCUUGAUCGAAGCCCCGGUAAACGGCGGCCGUAACUAUAACGGUCCUAAGGUAGCGAAAUUCCUUGUCGGGUAAGUUCCGACCUGCACGAAUGGCGUAAUGAUGGCCAGGCUGUCUCCACCCGAGACUCAGUGAAAUUGAACUCGCUGUGAAGAUGCAGUGUACCCGCGGCAAGACGGAAAGACCCCGUGAACCUUUACUAUAGCUUGACACUGAACAUUGAGCCUUGAUGUGUAGGAUAGGUGGGAGGCUUUGAAGUGUGGACGCCAGUCUGCAUGGAGCCGACCUUGAAAUACCACCCUUUAAUGUUUGAUGUUCUAACGUUGGCCCGUAAUCCGGGUUGCGGACAGUGUCUGGUGGGUAGUUUGACUGGGGCGGUCUCCUCCUAAAGAGUAACGGAGGAGCACGAAGGUUGGCUAAUCCUGGUCGGACAUCAGGAGGUUAGUGCAAUGGCAUAAGCCAGCUUGACUGCGAGCGUGACGGCGCGAGCAGGUGCGAAGGCAGGUCAUAGUGAUCCGGUGGUUCUGAAUGGAAGGGCCAUCGCUCAACGGAUAAAAGGUACUCCGGGGAUAACAGGCUGAUACCGCCCAAGAGUUCAUAUCGACGGCGGUGUUUGGCACCUCGAUGUCGGCUCAUCACAUCCUGGGGCUGAAGUAGGUCCCAAGGGUAUGGCUGUUCGCCAUUUAAAGUGGUACGCGAGCUGGGUUUAGAACGUCGUGAGACAGUUCGGUCCCUAUCUGCCGUGGGCGCUGGAGAACUGAGGGGGGCUGCUCCUAGUACGAGAGGACCGGAGUGGACGCAUCACUGGUGUUCGGGUUGUCAUGCCAAUGGCACUGCCCGGUAGCUAAAUGCGGAAGAGAUAAGUGCUGAAAGCAUCUAAGCACGAAACUUGCCCCGAGAUGAGUUCUCCCUGAGACUUAGAGUCUCCUGAAGGAACGUUGAAGACGACGACGUUGAUAGGCCGGGUGUGUAAGCGCAGCGAUGCGUUGAGCUAACCGGUACUAAUGAACCGUGAGGCUUAACCUU
rnacentral:rRNA from 2 species